GAGUUUGAUCCUGGCUCAGAACGAGCGCUGGCGGCGUGCUUAACACAUGCAAGUCAGGGAGAAAGUCUCUUCGGGGAUGAUUAAACCGGCGCACGGGUGAGUAACACGUGAGUGACCUGCCUUUUAGACUGGAACAACUUACCGAAAGGUGAGCUAAUGCCGGAUGAGUUAUAUAAGUGCAUGUUUAUAUAGGAAAAGUUGGGGAGACCUGACGCUGAAAGAUGGACUCGCGUCCCAUUAGCUAGUUGGUAGGGUAAUGGCCUACCAAGGCGACGAUGGGUAGCCGGCCUGAGAGGGUGGCCGGCCACACUGGGACUGAGACACGGCCCAGACUCCUACGGGAGGCAGCAGUGGGGAAUUUUGCGCAAUGCUCGUAAGAGUGACGCAGCGACGCCGCGUGAAUGACGAAGGCCUUCGGGUCGUAAAGUUCUUUCGACAGGGAAGAAAAUGCCUAUAAGUAACUGUGUAUGUAUUGACGGUACCUGUAUAAG
rnacentral:rRNA from 1 species